GAAAAUAUUCAGUACGAGAUAAACAACAAAAAUUCAGAAAACAAAUAUAGACAAUCAUUUACCAAAUUUUUGCAUCAUGAAAUCUGUUACUUUCUUUGUGGUUUCUUGUGUUCUCAUGUUUUUCGUGAUGCAUUAUGCUAAAGUGGAGGCAGCAGAGCGUGCGCCUGUACUUGUUGAAUUCAUUCCGGGGUAUCCAUGUGAUGUUGAUAUUUUUCGGUCGGCUGGACAAUGCAGAAUCGAAAUUCGAGAUGAUUACUAUCCUCAUUGCGAUUGUAGAGAUGCAGUAGGUGGACAUCAGUGUACAUGUGUGCAUUGAUAAUUUCUCUUUAUAUGAUUUACUGAAUCUUCAGAACUAAUAUAUAUAUAUAUUUAAUAAAAAUUAAUUAAUCU